CAGAAGUAGAUUCAAGGUGAUCUUGAUGGGUUAGAGUGACAGGCAGAGAGGAACAGAAUGAAAUUCAAUAGGGACAAAUGCCA